GAUCAAGUGCCUUAAGUGCAUCUAGUGGAUGCCUUGGCGCAUGCAGGCGAUGAAGGACGUAAUACGCUGCGAUAAGCCCCGGGGAGCUGCGAAUAAGCUUUGAUCCGAGGAUUUCCGAAUGGGGAAACCCGACCAUUUAGGUCACCCGAAAGGGAGCUAACCC
rnacentral:rRNA from 1 species